rnacentral:lncRNA from 1 species
GGAUUUUUUUUAUAAAAUAAUUUUUUAAAAUUUUAAAAUUAGCAAAAAUAACUUUUUUUAAAUUUUAUUUGAAAAAUUAACUUUUUUUUUUUCGCCACGUCAGCGCCACGUCAGAAUUUUUUUUAAAGACGGCAGAUCGUUCACCGCUUUCUUCCAUUUUUUUAAAGACAGUGAAUCGUUUCCCACUUUCUUCCAUUUCUUUUAAAGGCGGUGAAUCUUUUACCGCUUUCUUCCAUUUCUUUUAAAGACGAUAAAUCAUUCACCACUUUUUAUUUAUUUACUGUUUCUUUCUAUAUCCCAUAUAUAAUCCUAACAACCAUAUAAAAAUUUUAACAAAUCAUAUAUAAUCUUAACAAUCUUUAAAUCCUAAUAAUUUAUCCAUAUAAUUUUAUAUAAUCUUAACUGUCUAAAAAUCUAAAUAAUCUAACCAUAUAAUAAUUUUAAUAAAUGAGGUGAAUGAUUUACCGUCUUUAAAAUAAAAUAGAAGAAAGCGAGAAACGAUUCACCAUUUUAAAAAAAAUUGGAAAAAAGCGAGAAACAAUUCACCGUAUUUAUAAGAAAAUCCUGACAUGGCACCCACGUGACAAAAGAAAGAUUAGUUUUACAAAUAAAAUUUUUAUAGAAUCAUUUUGCUAAUUAUAAAUUUUUGCAAGGGCAUUUUAUAA